AGUGAACGCUGGCGGUAGGCCUAACACAUGCAAGUCGAACGGCAGCACAGAGGAGCUUGCUCCUUGGGUGGCGAGUGGCGGACGGGUGAGGAAUACAUCGGAAUCUACUCUGUCGUGGGGGAUAACGUAGGGAAACUUACGCUAUACCGCAUACGACCUACGGGUGAAAGCAGGGGAUCUUCGGACCUUGCGCGAUUGAAUGAGCCGAUGUCGGAUUAGCUAGUUGGCGGGGUAAAGGCCCACCAAGGCGACGAUCCGUAGCUGGUCUGAGAGGAUGAUCAGCCACACUGGAACUGAGACACGGUCCAGACUCCUACGGAAGGCAGCAGUGGGGAAUAUUGGACAAUGGGCGCAAGUCUGAUCCAGCCAUACCGCGUGGGUGAAGAAGGCCUUCGGGUUGUAAAGCCCUUUUGUUGGGAAAGAAAUCCAUCUGGUUAAUACCCGGGUGGGAUGACGGUACCCAAAGAAUAAGCACCGGCUAACUUCGUGCCAGCCGCCGCAGUAA
rnacentral:rRNA from 1 species